rnacentral:rRNA from 1 species
GACGUAGGGUGCAAGCGUUGUCCGGAAUUAUUGGGCGUAAAGAGCUCGUAGGCGGUUUGUUGCGUCGGCUGUGAAAUCCCGAGGCUCAACCUCGGGUCUGCAGUCGAUACGAGCAAACUAGAGUGUUGCAGGGGAGACUGGAAUUCCUGGUGUAGCGGUGAAAUGCGCAGAUAUCAGGAGGAACACCGGUGGCGAAGGCGGGUCUCUGGGCAACAACUGACGCUGAGAAGCGAAAGCAUGGGGAGCGAACAGG